rnacentral:rRNA from 1 species
AACGAACGCUGGCGGCAUGCCUAACACAUGCAAGUCGAACGGGAUCCUAGCUUGCUAGGUGAGAGUGGCGGACGGGUGAGUAACACGUGGGAAUCUGCCUUUGGUUCGGGAUAACCGCGGGAAACUGCGGCUAAUACCGAAUGCCCUCGAGAGAGGAAAGAUUUAUCGCCAGAAGAGGAGCCCGCGUCCGAUUAGGUAGUUGGUGGGGUAAAGGCCUACCAAGCCGACGAUCGGUAGCUGGUCUGAGAGGAUGAUCAGCCACACUGGGACUGAGAUACGGCCCAGACUCCUACGGGAGGCAGCAGUGGGGAAUAUUGGACAAUGGGGGGCAACCCUGAUCCAGCAAUGCCGCGUGAGUGAUGAAGGCCUUAGGGUUGUAAGCUCUUUUGCCAGGGAAGAUGAUGACUGUACCUGGAGAAUAAGCCCCGGCUAACUUCGUGCCAGCAGCCGCGGUAAU